UACGGAGGGGGCUAGCGUUGUUCGGAAUUACUGGGCGUAAAGCGCACGUAGGCGGACAUUUAAGUCAGGGGUGAAAUCCCGGGGCUCAACCCCGGAACUGCCUUUGAUACUGGGUGUCUGGAGGUCGAGAGAGGCGAGUGGAAUUCCGAGUGUAGAGGUGAAAUUCGUAGAUAUUCGGAGGAACACCAGUGGCGAAGGCGGCUCGCUGGCUCGAUACUGACGCUGAGGUGCGAAAGCGUGGGGAGCAAACAGG
rnacentral:rRNA from 1 species